AUAUAUCAAGUAGAAUUAGACAGGCAAAGAAACAAGAAAUGCUGGUUAACUAUUACAAACUAAGCACAGGCAGAGGCAAAAUUG